rnacentral:misc_RNA from 1 species
CCAGGCGCGAAUCCCCCGGCGGUGCAAACCGCAGGGGGGCUAGCGCCGCCUUUAUAACCACCCUUUGCCUAUGUGUACCCCUAUCGCUUCCUCGGCGGGCUCGCCCGCCGCCAGGAACCAACCAAACCCUUGCAUUAUACAUGAAAAUUUCCGAUACAAACCAAAAUUAUUACAACUUUUAACAAUGGAUCUCUUGGUUCU